UUGACGAACGCUGGCGGCGUGCUUAACACAUGCAAGUCGAACGGAAAGGCCCUGCUUUUGUGGGGUGCUCGAGUGGCGAACGGGUGAGUAACACGUGAGUAACCUGCCCUUGACUUUGGGAUAACUUCAGGAAACUGGGGCUAAUACCGGAUAGGAGCUCCUGCUGCAUGGUGGGGGUUGGAAAGUUUCGGCGGUUGGGGAUGGACUCGCGGCUUAUCAGCUUGUUGGUGGGGUAGAGGCUUACCAAGGCUUUGACGGGUAGCCGGCCUGAGAGGGUGACCGGCCACAUUGGGACUGAGAUACGGCCCAGACUCCUACGGGAGGCAGCAGUGGGGAAUAUUGCACAAUGGGCGGAAGCCUGAUGCAGCAACGCCGCGUGCGGGAUGACGGCCUUCGGGUUGUAAACCGCUUUCGCCUGUGACGAAGCGUGAGUGACGGUAAUGGGUAAAGAAGCACCGGCUAACUACGUGCCAGCAGCCGCGGUGAUACGUAGGGUGCGAGCGUUGUCCGGAUUUAUUGGGCGUAAAGGGCUCGUAGGUGGUUGAUCGCGUCGGAAGUGUAAUCUUGGGGCUUAACCCUGAGCGUGCUUUCGAUACGGGUUGACUUGAGGAAGGUAGGGGAGAAUGGAAUUCCUGGUGGAGCGGUGGAAUGCGCAGAUAUCAGGAGGAACACCAGUGGCGAAGGCGGUUCUCUGGGCCUUUCCUGACGCUGAGGAGCGAAAGCGUGGGGAGCGAACAGGCUUAGAUACCCUGGUAGUCCACGCUGUAAACGGUGGGUACUAGGUGUGGGGUCCAUUCCACGGGUUCCGUGCCGUAGCUAACGCUUUAAGUACCCCGCCUGGGGAGUACGGCCGCAAGGCUAAAACUCAAAGGAAUUGACGGGGCCCCACACAAGCGGCGGAGCAUGCGGAUUAAUUCGAUGCAACGCGUAGAACCUUACCUGGGUUUGACAUGGAUCGGGAGUGCUCAGAGAUGGGUGUGCCUCUUUUGGGGUCGGUUCACAGGUGGUGCAUGGCUGUCGUCAGCUCGUGUCGUGAGAUGUUGGGUUAAGUCCCGCAACGAGCGCAACCCUUGUUCACUGUUGCCAGCACGUUAUGGUGGGGACUCAGUGGAGACCGCCGGGGUCAACUCGGAGGAAGGUGGGGAUGACGUCAAGUCAUCAUGCCCCUUAUGUCCAGGGCUUCACGCAUGCUACAAUGGCUGGUACAGAGAGUGGCGAGCCUGUGAGGGUGAGCGAAUCUCGGAAAGCCGGUCUCAGUUCGGAUUGGGGUCUGCAACUCGACCUCAUGAAGUCGGAGUCGCUAGUAAUCGCAGAUCAGCAACGCUGCGGUGGAUACGUUCCCGGGGCUUGUACACACCGCCCGUCAAGUCAUGAAAGUUGGUAACACCCGAAGCCGGUGGCCUAACCGUUGUGGGGGAGCCGUCGAAGGUGGGACUGGUG
rnacentral:rRNA from 1 species